GAAGAAUAGCAGUGAAGGGGAAGAGAGCAGCGAAGAGAGCUCCGAGGGUGUUCCUGCGGCUGCGGGGCCGCAGAGGAGGAAUUGGCUCUCGAGGUUGGUGAAUUUUAGUUCCGACGAUGCCAGGCCGUUAUCACGGCUUUGGACCUUCAACUGCUUUUCCGGUCGCAGGUGCGGAGCCAGGUCGAUUCCUCGUCGUCUAGUGCCCACUCUCGAAGUGGGCGAUCGAAUCGUGGUGGCGGUGUGGGAGGGGGGGGAAAGGGAAAAAUGAGGUAGAACCUCGUUAUCCUUAUCUGGAUUUCUUAAUUUGAAUUCCAUUUCCACUUUUAGAAUGUAUAUUUCCACAGCAUUGCUGGUAAUAUGACAAUGUGUUGGUGAUGCAUCUUGUGGAUGAGCUUGGGGGAACCUAAAUUUUGAGGCUUUAGGAGGAUCAUAGAGAAGGGAACAUUUCAUUACUGAAUUCAACUUGAGUUAUGCAUUUUUGGUACCGCUUUGGUGAAGCUAACUUGAUAAAAUACCCAUGCCUGUUUUUUAUCACAAAACAGAAAUUACUUCCAUGUUUUACUCCAUACUCACAUGAUGUGUGGGUCCCACACAUAGUGCUAUCGCGACACCCACAAAUGAUGCGAGUAUGGAGUAAAAAACACUCAGUAAUUUAUGAAGUAUCUACACCAUUGUUUUAUUUGGUUUUAGGUUCAGUGCAAGUCUUGUGGGAUUACUAGAGAGACUAGUUUCUUUGGUUUUAAGAAAAAGAAUAUUGGAAUUGAACUGAUUUUUACUGAUAAUUUUGGUGUGUCAGGUUACAUAUUUCUUUAGAAAGCCUUCAGUUUCGGAUAUUGUGAUAUUUAAGAUGCCUCCAGUGAUUCAGGUCUGUUGUGAAUUUACAAAGUUCAUGGAUAACAAUCUUUUGGUCAAGUCACUAGAAACUAAUGUAUAUCUUCUUUUCUUUUUUGGGUACUCCAGAAGGGGGUUGGUUUUGAUGGAGGUGAUGUGUUCAUAAAACGAAUUGUGGCGAAGGAAGGAGAUUGUGUUGAAGUAAGUUCUCAUGUUCUGUACAAGUAAAAAAUCCCAUGUGCCUCAUCUUGACAUCUAAUGUGAUGUAAAUCAUGUGCCUAACAGGUACGCGAUGGCAAGUUACUGGUGAAUGGUAUUGUGCAGAAUGAGGAUUUCAUUAUGGAGCCAGUUCGGUAUAAACUGUGUCCAGUGGUACGGCUUUGUGCUUCUUGUUCUUGGGCUUUCUUGAAGUCAAUUUCUUGUCAUUAGCCUUAUUAGAGGCCUAAAACGUUUGCCGCACUGGUCUGAUAAUUUGCAAUCGAAUUUCUGCAGCUUGUACCUAAAGAUUAUGUGUACGUCAUGGGGGACAACCGUAAUAACAGUUUUGAUUCCCAUAAUUGGUAAUUCCAGGUCACCAAUAUUUAUAAUCGUUGCCAAGUUUUUUGUUUGAAUAUUUUUAGCUGUAAUGUUCUGUGGCUUACUCAUUUCGAAACUUUGAUGCAAUUAUAGUUGUAACUUACCAUGCUUCAAUCUUUGUUCGGACAACUUCUGAGACAUGUUACUUGCACCUUGUUUUCAGGGGUCCACUGCGAUCACCAACAUUUUGAAGCGGUGUUUCGUUAUUGGCCCCUUAAAGAGUAAUCCAGGCAUUACUUAUAAAGCACGCGUGAAGAGAAUGGGCAAUCUCAUGAAAGAAAAAAAAAAAAACGAAAAAAAAAAAAAAAAAAAAAAUGAAAAAAAAAAAAAAAAAAAAAAAAAAAAAUGAAAAAAAAAAACCUCUUUGGUCCUUUGCUCGCAGAAGCUGAUAUGAUUUUUAGAUCUUAAUAAUUUUUUUACCAAUUCUUUCCCAAGUCUUCUGGCUCCAUAUUAAAACAUUUGUGAAUAUUCCUUCUUUUUCUGAUGGCAUGUUUCGCACAUUUCCAAUGAAAAUGUUUUGCAUAUUUGGAUUGGUUGAGGAUGGAUGAUUCGUCCAUUAGUCAUUAUAGGUGUUGUCAAUGGCUAGUUUUACAUAUUUGGAUUGGUCGAAGAGUUUUAUUCGGGGCAAUGUAUCGACAGUGCAUGCUCAUACGUGAUGAAGCUUGCAAAAAUGCCACGACUUUGCUGCUGUUGUAAUGCUGCGGUCACCACAAACUCUAGCCACGUCUCCACUCGGUAUGGGCUAACGUUUAACUUUGUUUGGGUUCCUUCUCUUCCCUUGUUUUUAUCUCUCUCUCAUCCCCACUUUUCUCUCUCUGGUACUAGCAAAGGAAAGGAACAUUGUGUCUGUAGGUUUGUGAUUAAAGGGUAAAAAGGUAAAUCCAUUCCUUUUGGAUCAGUACAAUAAAGCACGGAACUCCGCUGAUUCGUUUAGAAAAUCUCCCUUCCAACGGCCGAGAUCACCCUUUCAAAGGAAUCUACUUUUCUCCACAGGGCCAUUCUCGUCAUUUCACUUACCUGGCACUACAGAUCUCGCCGGGGAAUUCUAUUUGCAACCAAGAAACUUCUUUCAAGCCCUAGUUUUUGUAUAAUUUUUGUAUGAGUAAAUUUCACUGACCUCCUUUAAGAUUUUUUACCAAUACAGCUCUAUUUCUUUGUAUAUUCUAUUAAAAUUAUUAGUACGAUUUUUUUUCCACUAUUUUUUUACCAAAGUUUACAAGAUUACACUUAUUUUUAGGAUUUUUAUAUUUUUUUUUAGAAAAAUUAGUUAUUGUUAAAAAAUAGGAUAAAUUACAGUAAACCAUCCUUAGCUAUAUGACCUAUUUUCUCUUUACCACCAUAAUAUUUGAAACUUGACACUUAAUCCCCUUAAAGUAUGAGAAUCAUAAAACCAGUGGAUGCUGUUAACAGUAAAUGGUAUUUUACGUUUUUGACCUUAACUACAAUAACCCUUGCAAAGUUGCAAUAUUUUCCAGCGAGAUCCAAUUUCUCUCUCUCAAGUCUCAUGAAACCCAAUGUCUCUCCUCUCCUCUCUCCCUCUCCAUGGAGACCCAAUUCUCUCUCUACACGCCCCAAUUUCUCCCUCUCCCACUCCACAUGGAUCCAAUUUCUAUCUCACAUAUGCAAUUGCGCUCUCUCUCUCUCUCUCAUCAGCCUUCAUCUCCCUCAACCGUGUGCAGCCAGUGGUCAUUCUCGCAAUCAUCCUUUACCCACCACCACUCCCAUCACCAACAGCGACCCAUAGACACCUGUAACUGCCAUUCGCCCAUAGAUCUACUCACAACCACUUCCGCCACCACCAUGAAACCUCCAUGCCCCCACGCCAGCCUUGAAACUCUCUAUCUUUACAAAUACAUCAAACCCUAAGAUAAGACCACCAUUUAAAGCACCAAGAACCACCUAGCCACAACCAUAUCUAGGGCACCGAGGGGGGAGAGAGAAAACCAUUGCUAUUGGAUUUUGACAUUGAGCUGUUAAGGGCAAGGGCGAAGGCGGUGGCGGUGGCGUGCAUAUAGAUACACAUAUAUAUGUAUAGCUAUGUUGGCUAUUAAAUACAAAAGUCUAAUUACACCCGAAAAAUAUACAAAAGUCUAAUUAUCCCCAAAAGCAUACAAGAAUAAGGGCAUUCAUGACUUUUUUCAUCUAAAAACCUAACAGAUUCAUGAUGGAGGGAGUUAAAGUGUCAAAAUAUAGAACUGUAAGGCGGUUGAGUGUUGAGUUUUGUAGUUGAGGAGGGUUGAGGGUCAUAGUUUAAGGGAUGUUAACGUAAUUUAUCCUAAAAAUGAAAAUGGGAGGGUUUACAAAUAAAUAGUAUUUUAAGAAUAAAAAAAGAGAAUAUUUGUUUAUUUUUAGUUAUUUAUUGAGAAAAGAAGUCCUAAAUUUAUGAAAAAUCUUAUCAUUUUUAUCAAAAAAAAAAUAGCUCAAAAAAGAGAAUUUUUCGAUAAUAAUUUCAAAAAUAUAGAAAGUCAAUUUUAUUUCAGAAAGUAGAGGGAAGGUUGAUAUAUAAUCAUCAUAAACCGCAGUGGAGGUCGGUGAAAUUUACCCAAACAAAAUACCGGGGCUAGAGAGAAAUUUUGGGGGUCCAGAUAAAGGCUCCGUUUGGCACCAGUUUUUUUCAGUUUUUUUUCUGGUUUUUUGGCUUAAAAUAAGUAAAAAAGACAAUCAUAGUUGGCUUUUUUGCUUUUCUGCUUUUGCUUUUUUGCUUAGUUUUAGCUAAAGUAAAACCAUAAAAGCAAAAAAAUCAAAAAUUUUUAAUUUUAUUGAUAGUAAACUUAAAAAAAACUUGAAUUUUAAGCAUUACCAAACGGAGCCGGAGAAUCACUCGAUCUCGCCACCAGCUUUUAUAGCGUAUGGCAAGCGUUGAGUCAACCAAUUCCCAGACUCCCAAAGCCCAGUAGUACCCCAAUGAUGAUCGCCUCUUUCUUUCUCCUAAUUCUCCAAACCCUAAUUACAUCAAUCACUGCCCACCCAACACUCAACAUUUCUCGCUUUAUCUAUCCGAAGAUCGGCGACGAGCUUCGUCCUCAACCCUCUCCUUUCCUUGAGGUUCGUAUCGAUUCCACUGUGAUUUGCAUUUUCGAACUUGUAAUCAAGCUUUCAUUGAAUUCUGAAUCGAUUGUUAUUGUUUAAAUCAGGAUGUUCUGAAAGCUAUUUCGGUCAGGGAAGGGUGGAAUAACUCGGGGGACGUUAGGGUUUCGAAGCUGGAUUCGAGGAACGCCAAGUGCGGGAGCUCGCAGAGGUACGAGUUUCGUCUUCGGAUUGGGAAGGCCGAGUUGAUUUUCGAACUCAGAGACGAAGUGUCUUCGUGGAAGAAGAUGAAGAAAGGGGGCGACUUUGAAUCUGUGGUUAAUGCGGUUAGUUCCAUGGCGGUGCUCGAUGCGUUUCGAGUCGAAGGUCCUUUGGAAUUGCGAGUGGGAGGAGACGAUGAAUUGUCGCUACUCUUGCCGGUAUGUCUUAAUCUUGACUUUUGGCUUUGGAUUUUGGAAAGUAUUAUUACUCUGCUUCAUAUUGCUUCAUUCGGUGGUAAAAAAUUGGUUCUAUGAUCUUCUAAUACAAGCGUUAUACGGUAUUUUACAAAAUUUCAUGGUAGAAACGGAAUUUAGUAUACCCUCUUGGCAAAUGGUUACAUGGCAUAGAAUUGGAGUAUGAUUCACUCUAUGUUAAUUCGGUUUAUGUUCGGUUGUAAUUGAAUAUGAUGGCAAUCAAAACAAUAGAUAGAGUUUCAAAGGAAAUACCAUUGCAGGAAAGUAGGUAAUUUUCUGAGGUCUUGCCACAAAAAUGUUUGGUACAUAAUGUCUUCAAGUGAAUUGCUUGGAGGAGUUACUAUGUUUCUCAUGAACUUUUGAUUGAGAGGCCUGUGAUAUCUUGUUACUUGAAGUUUGGAAAAAUAUGAAAAAUGAUUCAGAUUGAAAUCUAUGUUCUAUAACAUGUUCAAUUCUUAAGUUCAUGAUGUAGGUUUCAUGUGAGCUUCAUUUUGAGCAAUUCCGAGAAUUUUACUUCUGGUACUAGCUUUACUUGUGUUAAUUGUUGGGACUUCAUUGUUGAGUAUUUUAUUACAUCAGCUGAUGGUACCGUUGAUAUUAAAUACUAAUACUUGCUAUGCCUGAACAAACAAAUGGAGAAUGUAAAAUAGAGUAAUCACACAACUCACAAAAAUUUACUUGGUUCAGCUUGAAGCCUAUAUUGAUGGGCGAAGAUUGGGGGAGGCAAUCACUAUGAAAGAGGAAAAUGUAAUGAGUAGGCUGUAUCUGUAACUCUUUUAUAAACCCUAGAGCCCCCAAACAACCCUUUAUAUAGGAAGACACUAUAAUACGAAUAGGGUAAAGGAACAAUACCCAACCAUAACAAACAGGUUGGACCUAGCGGGUUGGAUUCAAGACCAUCACUCAUAACUGUACUGAUUAUUUGCUUUCCCUACUAUGUUAUGCAUUUCAUUGUAUCUAUAGGGUAAUCAUAUUGUUCACGAUCAUUCUAAAUUUAAAAAAUGUUGUGUUCAUAGUCUAAUUUUCUUUAUUUCAAUUUAUAUGUCACACGUAUGGCUCUCUCUUUUAAAAUUGCUGCCUCAUUUGUCCCACUAGCUGAACGCUUCACAUACUGGUUUGAAACGGAUCCUCGUUGGUGAAGACAUCACAGUAGAAGUAAGAAAUGCUCAAGGAGUAUCUCUGGAUCAUGCACUGGAACUUGCUUUGCAAGUUAAUAGAAGUGUUGCAAUAGACCGGCAGGGAAGUGAGUUUUGGCCCUUGCAGAAUUCAUUAUGUGAGACAUUACUUCCUAUACACAUUUCAGGCUCUGCAACAGUGGCUGCCUACAGGGCUCGAAACCCUGACUCCUAUAUUGAAACUACUUUCCUAUUAAGAGACACAAUUGAAUUGCUGCCAGAAAAAUGUUACCUCAGAAAUGUCUACAGAAAGCGGCGAUGCCCCAUUGAUUCCAUAAAUUUGAGGACAGCCGUGAUCGAGAAACUUUUGAGAAGCUUUCUAGGUGACAAAAUCUAUCAGAAUGGGGGUUUAGGUUUUCUAAAAGCAAAUAUUAAAGCAUCAACGGUUGUUCGUUUCAAGAUGGAACUAGAAAGGGAUAUCAGAAGCAAUGACACUCUUCAGGGCACAUUGGCUGAAUGGAGAACAAGGCAUACCGUUGAACGUGUUUGGUUUGAGGUAGUGGCUAGAAUUGAGCGGGAGAGGUUGAAACCACUAGUAGUUAAGAAAGUCAGACCUUCCACUGAAGUAGAUUCAUCAGGUUGGAGUAAUUUAAUGUCCAAUAUUUCCUUUACAAAGUUUCCAUCAAUCCUUGUCCCUCCUGAGGCUCUAACGCUGGAUGUGAAAUGGUAGGAGAAAUGAAAUAGGUUUCUUUGGUCAUGUAUGUUGAUAAAUCAAUGUAUUUUUGUUCUUUUUCUUUGUCAGGUGGAUCAGUUUUACACAUGCACGUGGUUUGUAAAAAGAAACAUUGCCGUUGCCCUUUGUAAGUUACAAAAUGAAAAAGCAAUAAGAUAAAGAAGAGGUUAAUUAUUGCGAUAGGUUUUCCAAACUGGAUCCAUUUUUUAUAAGAGAAGAUUCGCUGUUCCUGAUCGAGCUUUUUAAUUAUUUUUUGAAUAGUGAGAGUUACAUGUUGUUCCCAGUGUGUAACAUUUCUCUUUUGCAUGUCCAUUGAGUUAUGGAAAAUCAGCAACGAGUAUGAAUGGUUGUAUGGUUGUCGGUGGCUUGGUGCCUUGAUUUAUCUAUUGUUCGGUUUGGCUAGCUGCUUGAGUUGUUAUUUCGAUCUUUCAAUGGUUUUGACUAUUAUCAUUUGUGGUUCUUAGCCUCGAUAACCAAGGGAAAGUGGAUGCUUGUUAUCGUUAAUUUUGAUUAUCCAAUCGUUAUUAUGUCUUUAUUAUUUAGUGAAAGGGAAUAGUAAGGUCCAUUUAACCGAUUAUUAUCCUUAGUGGUUAUUAGUUUGUUUGGAUCAAACACUUUCAGGUCCUAUGGGUAAUCUACCUAGUUAGAAUGUGCAAAGCAAUGUUUUAAAAACCAGAACCCGGGUUGAACCGAAAUAGACCGGGUCACGGGUCACCGGGUUCAAACCGUCGGUGUUAACCGUUGGUUGAAUCGUUAUCGAAACCGUACGUCAUAAAAUUAUUUAUAUAGAUAAAAAUAAAAAUAAUUGGGGAGUUAAUUGCAAUAAUUUAAACAUUGUGAGUAAGUGAGUUAAUAGUUGAAAUUGUGAGGGUAUAAAGUGUGAUUAAACCCAAAAAAAGUCACACACCUCUCAAUCGGGACAGUUUCAAUCUGGUUCACUGACCUUUUCAAGACCCGCCGGUUUUGAACCGGAUUGAUCAAAAACGGGGGGUUUUAUGGGUGACUGUGAAAAACCUUUUCCCCCGACCGGUGUCGUACUGUUCAACCGGUCGCACCGGCCGGUUCGGUCCGGUUUUAAAACAUUGGUGCAAAGAACUCCUUCCCUCUUUUAUUGAUUUAACAGUAACUCACAGCUGCUGUCUAGUCAUUCAAAUCCAUUCCAAAUUAAGGACAACAAGCAUCUUGGUGCCAUCACACUACGAGGACUAUGAAAUAUCUUUACCAAAUUACAGAUUCAUGCAAGAAUUAAAUGUCUAUCUCUAGGGUCUUAACUCUUAAACUCUUCCCAUUUCAAUUUUUCCCUCAGGAUCACUACUACAGGUAUCUGCUUUCUUCGCUUCGACCUUUUUAUAUCUAUACCAAGAUGAACAUAGCAAAUAAACCCCAAAAUUCACUGUACUCAAGCCAGAUAGCAACCAGUAGAAAUAGUUCAACUUAUCUCUAUUCAAAUUGUUACUACCCAACCAACCACCACUCACCUUGUUCACCAACUCAACCAUGACCGAGCUCGUGUAGUACCCGAACGCCAUCGAACACCAUGAGAUGGCUGUGCUUAAGGACUUCAUCCCCGAUGAGCUCUCUGCGUAAAAGAACUCUAGCAGCCCAACCAGGGUAAACAUGUCAGCCAUUCCAAAGAUAGCAUAUUGGAAACCAAGCCAAAACACACUUAUAGGCAAAGGACCGGCAGAGUCAACCAUAUUGUGCUUAACAGCCACCGAUUUCCGGUGCGUUUCUACGAUUCCAGCGACUGCCAUAGAAAUAAUUGAAAGCACCAGUCCCACUCCAAUUCGUUGGAGAUGUCGAAUCCCAGUUGGAAUUCCGGUGAAUUUCCUUGCUAUUGGAACGAAAACCCGGUCAUAGAGUGGGAUUGAAAUGGACAUGAACAUCAGGGGAAUCACGGGAAUCGAAGGACCUGGGACUUGGAAACCCAGGAGAUUUCUGUCCAUGGUAGUGCUUUGUUGGAUCGUAAAUGUUUGGAGCUGAGCCAAACAAGUGUUCAUGAAGAUGGUGCUUAAUAUAAUUGGAAGCAUACGAACCAAUAUCUUUGUUUCUUCAACUUGUGUCACUGUGCACAUGUUCCAGGGUCCAGGAGUCCUUAAUCUGGACUCAUCGUCUGCGCUUCUAACAAUUGCUGCUCGAUCCAAAAACCUGUCAAGGUCGAAGUGGAAAAUACGCUUAACAAGCUAAACUCAAAACUAGCUCAAAAUGAACAGUUACAGGUGAGUUUAGUUAGUAUGAUGAUUACUUGAAUUGAUCAGUUCUUGACAGAAUUUCACUUCCUAUCCCAGCUUCUUUGUCGUGAAUCUCAUGCAACUCCUCUGUUGUCUCUGGCACUGAAAGUCUUCGGUUUCGAAUGGCAGCCACAAACACCUAGAUUUAGGAUCACAAGAAAGUAGUGAACUUCUCAAUAGUCGUUUUAGUUAGUGCAUGGAGUCUCAAUGUUCAUACUAGGAUUCUUCUUACCGGAGUGGCUGUGUUUAGAUCUGGGAUUUCUUGACAGAUUUGUUGUGGGAAAAGAAGAUGAAGAGGAAAAUAUAAGGACAAAUUUUGACAUGUUUGAAAAUUUGAAUACCUUCUCUCAUUUAUAUUCUUUUCCAUUAAUCCUUCCACAAACCCAAGAUUCCCAAACAGCCAGAAUGAUUCGAAUUGACAUUUUCGUGCUAUGCAUACCUGAAGAAUACGAAGGAUUGGGCUUCCCUUGGGGACGUUAUUCCGAUAAACUGACUUUCCCAUGCUUAGGAACAAAAAUGCCACUAGGACAGCGAUAGUACACACACCCAACGACCAAUCCCACCCCUGGUUGGUGCUAAUCCAGACUAGGAAGGUCACGCCAAAUAUAGCUCCAGAGGUGAUACUGAACAAGAGCCAGUUGAAGAAGCUGGAAAGUGAAGCGGCCUCCUUGGGGUCUCUCUCAUCAAACUGGUCAGCUCCCAAAGACGGGAGAGCUGCUUUAACCCCACUGUUUCCAAGUGCAACUAAAUACAAACCAGCGAAAAGGAUACCAACUUGGGUACUAUUUGCACUCUCACAUUGGUUCAUUUCAGUUGGGGGCACACCUUGGCAUGGAACGGGCCUUAGUUGAGGGAAGUGCGCUUGUGCUGUUAGGACAGCAUAUCCCUGGAAAUGCGCAUAGCAUAUAGAAUUAGUGUGGAUUGUAAGGUUUUUUUCGAUGCUGAUUUAGUUUUCGGGUUCUAAUAAUUGGAACUCUUUGAUCACAGCCAUCGCGAUUAGAGUUUAUAAGGGUUUGAUCCGAAUUCCUUGCUAUGGUUGUGGGCUGAUAGCUCUACUGUGUUGGGUUUCUUCUCUUUUUUGCAGUUUAUUAAUAUAGUUGACCUAUUACUUUUAAUUAGUUAUUAUUUAAAUUGCAUAGAGCCUUGCAUGCAUAGUAGGUUAAUUAACAAAAUCAGACCAGCCCAAACCACCCCCUCAACCACACACACAAAGAGACCAGCAAAAGAGACAUGUAACUGCCCCGCUGUUAUGUGUAUUCCUAUAUAAUGAUUCUUCAUUAUGUGGGUUGGUAACUUGGUUCAUGAUAAGACCAAUGAUUAUGCCACUUCUUCUUCAUUGAUGACAUUAAUGUUCUAUUAUUGCAUCUUUCUUCUAGUCAAUGAACUAUGUAUUUAAUUACUAUAGUUUUGAGAUAACAUUUUAUCACCAAAUCUGCACAACAAAUUUGUCCAAUUGCCCAUCAUGUCACAGAUGAAAAGCUAAAUCUUGAUUUUUUUAUUUUGUUUUUAAAUUCUAAACACACACAACCCCCUGCAACUUAUUUGCUGAAAUGAUAAGCAUGCACUUGUUAUCAUCUGCUAACACUUGCGGACGAAAGCACCCAUGAAAUUGGAUUAAAUGUUCGAUGCUGCAAUUUUGAAAUGUAGUUUCACAGCAAACUUUAACAAGUCACUGCAUUGAUACACAUACUACUGUGUGUAUAUACGUGUAUAUUUUGCCAACAACAUGGACGGUAAGUGUCAUGUUUGUUGAGAAAAUUAAGAUAGAUUGUAAGUAAAUGACAUACCACCACUUCUAUGCUUCCGAACAGAAUGCAAGUCUUGAAUCUGGACAAGUAGGUGUCGGAGAUGAAUCCUCCGAACAACGACAGUAAAAACGUAGUCCCCAUGAAGUUUGUGAGCGUGGUGGCUGACUUUGUCAGGCUGAAGUUCAUGUACCCGUAGAAGUAAGUCACGAGGCUUAUUGCGUUAGCGAUGAAUGCCAUGUUCUCUAGUCCCACCGUAGCUGUAAUAAUCAACACCCAAAUCUGUCAAAACAAAGGAAAACCCACAACCAAAGCAAAGUAGCUAGUUUCCAAAAGUGAAGCAUACCAUAUACAAAGAGAGCGGCUCUGUUUCCUCCAAGUUUUGGGGGUUGUUUGGGCUGAUGAGCUUUAACAUCUCUGCACAUUCCCUGGAUAGAGUGACACAGGAAACUGUAUUAGAUAAAAACAAGUAGUAUUUUCUCUUGGAGAAAGCAGAUAGAUUUAUAUUGGUGAUCCUGAGAUUAGUGAAGAUAGAAAUCUCCACUGUAUUGUGGUGGCUCAGAACUUUCUUCUCUGUACGAUAAAUGUGAUUCCUGUUAACUAAUCUUUCAAAAAACGGCAUCGGUAUCAAUGAUAUAGUCUUGUAUCGGCCGAUAUCCGAUAUUUAGUAAAAUAUCAGUAUUGGAAGAGCAAAGUCUUGAUACAUAACGGCCGUAUUGGCCAAUAUUUAAAAAGGGUAGUGGUCAUCUGAUAAAUGAUCAACCAAGAGCUUACCAUUUUUGAAGAAGGGUUCAAAAAGUGAUAUGUGGUCAGUGGAAGGUUGUAAGCUUUGACAUUGUAGGCCUUUGUUUAUAUAGAGAUGGAUGAUGUUGUAUCUGUAUACUGACAAAGAAUUCAGAAAGGAAUCAAAUGGCAUCUUCGUGAUGGAAAAAAAACUGUGGUUAGUGGGUUCUUUUUUGUUUCUUAUGAUUGAAAAGUUGAAAACCCUCUCUCUCUCUCUCUCUCUCUCGUAUAAUACAAUGGAAUAUAGAAGACGCAUCUACGUGCAUAUUUUGACUUUAUUUGCUGACUUAAUAUUUUGUUUAUGCCAUCAUUUAGUGUUAAUUUUUUAUCUGGAAGUUGUCUAGGAGUCGCUUGAUCUGAACCAAAUUGGUGUGAUAGAUGGGUUCUAUUCCGUCCCUUAACAGCCAAGAUUAACCCUCUUAUUAGUCUUUUGGUUUGAUAAGAAAUGUAGGGCACCAAAGAAGAACACUUGAGCAGAUGUAUUUUAUUUUCGGUAACGCCAUUGUGAUAUCGUGUUCUCUAUAUAAAUCCCAGUUUGGGAAAAAAUGAAUUUGUUGAAUUAGUUGUCUGUAACGAUUUUUUUUUUAUCUUUUGACCAAUUUUUUUUACAUUUUCUGUUUGUCUCGAUUAGAGAAAUUAGAAAAUCCACUUUACCCCAAACCUGAAAAAAAAAUCUGAUUUUAUUUUCAAAAAAUCCACUUUAUCCCAAACCGGCGUUUUAAGAAUAGGCUUUUCUUCAUUUUUUAAUGCCUAAUCGCAUUCGAAAUUCAUGGGGAGGCCACUGAGCUGCCACGGACCAGCAUUCUCCAUGCAUGAAAGGCACUGCUUGAUAGUAACAACUUUCCAAAUUCCAGCACAGGGCUCUGUAGUCCUUCCAGGUAUGAUUUUUGUUUGACAAAACAUAUGGGUAUCGAUCCAUUGCAUGAUAUAUAUGGUGUGAAACUAUUUACUCACAGUAUAAGUCAAAUCUAGUGUAUCUAUAUGUAUAAUAUAUGCAUGAUUUGAUUGGCAUAUUUAAUACUUGAACCUUCUUAUCUGAGGAGACUUAUAAUUUACUUAGUUGUUGGCCUGACCUGGUGGUGGGUAGAAGAUUCAAAACUUAAACCUUAUUUUUUUGCUGCAUUUGGUAGCCACAUUGUUAGGAUUCAGAGGCGUGCCCUCAUGACGUUUUGGUAUCUUUCAUUUUUUUAUAGAGGUCAUUCAAAUGAUUUGUCCAUGUGCAUUGUUGGAAAAACUGGGGAUGUAUGUGUUCUAGGAAUUCUGGAAUUCUAGGGAUCGCUGCUGGGUUGCAGCGAUCUGUCCCCGGGAUGCAAUGAAGCCCGGCCUUACACCGUGUGUUUGAUUUGAAUCGAAGAUGGAAUACCUUUGGAUGCACAAACGGUGGUGGAAUCAGAAUUUUUUCGAGUGUGGUUGUUUAAUAACUAAUGAAAAUAACCUUUCAAUUUACUAGGAUAACUCUUAUUUUGUUUACAGAAAUAACUUCCAGACAAUACAUUCUAACAAUUUUCCUUAUAAAUUUGAAGUUUGUUUGAAAAAAAAACGUAGACAUUGAGAUUUUUCAAGUUAUUGUUCAUAGUUGACCCCAUAAUCGAAUCUUCUAUUACUUUUUAAAUAUUUAGUAGGAUUCAUAAUGUAUAAGUUGUCUAUAAUUUAAAGCAAACAUCAAACAUACUCAUUAGUUUUUCAAAAUCUCGGUGGGUUCUGUUGAACCCAUUAACAACUAUGUAGCUCCGCCCAUGUACACAAACUCGAACAAGUUCUUGAGUUCUAUUUCUGGAGAAAAUACAACCCUUAAAGGGAAGAAGAAAAAAUUGUAUGGUUGGAAUGGUCAGGGUUUUUUUUAUAGAAAAAUAGAUCCAAUUCUAUUCUUAAAGGACCCAACUGCCAAUAAUUGACAAACAAGUCCUUAAUUGCAUAUUUGCAAGCAGAGUUCCUAGCACAUGCUUUGAGACACUCAUUUUGAAAAUCUUUUAACAUGCAUUUCCUUGCAGGCUUUCCUCUUGGAACCUAAUAUAGUAGUCUUGUUAUGCUUGUCAAUCAUUUAAUUUAAUCUGUGACAGAGAAGUUCCAUCUUCAGCCUUUUUUUGUCAAUUUGCACGUCGAAUAAAUGCAAGUCUUAUAUGUGUAUUUGUGAUAGUUAUACAAUUAUACUUAUUCUCCUUUACAGUGUCUUAUAUUUUGAGUGUUUUAUAUUUAUUAGCAACUCUUACUGAAACGGUUCUAGUGGACAUAAACAUUAGAUGAGGGUCACUUGUGAGUAUUGGGUUGGAUCUUGAAGUCGCUUUUGUCCGCCAGAACCUUCAUUUGAGAAGGCAUAAAAACUUUAGGAUAGUGCACAGCACACCUCACAAUCUCACAAGCCAACUCUGUAUUCUUUUUUCUCUUAUUUCAAUAUAUGUUUACGUAACUUGUGUUUUGAUUUUUUAUUUAUGUUUAAAUAGCAUAUUUUUUCAACACAAGAAAUUACAAAGAAUAAUGAAAUCUGAGGUUUUACAAGUAGGACAGAAGAGUUUAAAAAACAACUUUUGAUGGAGAUGAGACUAUGAACACACCUCAUCAGAUUAUUUAACUACACCAACUUGUGUAGUUAAAUACCCCAAGGAGAGUAACGAAUGGGACAAAUCAUGGUCAAAAGAAUAGUUAUUCAUGAAAAUGCAGUUUUGGCAUAUUACCUGUCCUUCACUGCAAAUCUUUUUUUUUUUCACCUAUUCUUCUUAUUAUUAUUAUUAUUAAUUUUUUUUUUAAUGAAUUUUCUAGCAAGAAAGUUUAAGUAUUAUAGGCCAAACAAAAUUAUAUAUAUAUAAAUAUAUAUACUAUUUCAGCUCUCCAAUAUGCAGGCUUGCUAAGUAAUUAGUCAUCUUUUAAAUUCCUCCCUAAUCAUUGAUGCCUUUGUACUCUAAUUGUUGUGAAGUUACAGAAUCUCAAGCUACGUACUGACAACUACGUCAAUUCACGAUUUGUAAAGGGAUUACUAGCGACAAACAAAAAAUUAUAAACUAGAUUAUAAAAAAACGACUUAACACAUAACUUCUCUUGGUACAAAAAGGAACAUCCAAACUUGUCUUCCGGGUCAAAUAUGGCAAAUAUCGUCAAUUGUGAAGAAAAAGUAAUGAAGAAUAAGAGAAAAUAAAAGAUACCAAAAAACAGUUAUGUAAAACUUAAAAGACAUAAGAACAUUACGAGAAUAGAAUUCAUAUUCAUGCUGUGAACAACUAAUAUAGUUAAUCCAACAUGGCAAUAACACUAACCUGAUAAUAAUAUCUGCUGAGAUCAAAGAGAGGUAUCGUCCGUAUCUUAGGACUAUAUAUGCUUCUAGAAAACGCUAAUACAUUUGCAUAUUGAAAUAUACGUUUCAAAACAUGAUACACCCUUGUUUCAAAAACAUUAAAUUUAGCGAUCUAAGGCGAUUUCUAAAGUUGCCUUGAUGCCUCCUUGUUAACAUGAACUUUGUAAUUUUAGCAUUUUCUUAUUAGUUCUUUGGCGAAUUUCACCUAUGUUUAAGUGAGAUGUUUAACACUCAGUACAUAUUUCCUCUUGUAAUCUGUGUUACAUUUUCUUUUGUUUUUCUUGGAUUGGGCAUUUUUUUUGGGAGGCCUAUGUAGGAACGAAGGAUAAGGAUAUGCAGCAUGGCCUUACUGAGCAAUCCAGAGACAAGUAGGGCCCGUAAAGUUCAGCCCAACUGAGGCCAGUAGUGGGCCUCUACCAACAGUGAGGGACUCCAUCUCCUGUCCAAAAAAAGACAAAAGGAUUAUAAAUAAAAAUCCUAAUAAAAGGUCUCAUCUCCUUAUCGCAGCAGUGCCACGAUCCUCCGAAUCUAAAUUAAAAAAAAAAAUUCAAAAUUUAAAAUUAAUAGUUUAGAUUCACUUGAAUGUAUGUGAUCACGUAACCAAGUAAAUCUCUAUUAUUUAUUUUUGAAUUUAGAAAAUAAUUCAGGUUCAAAUUCAGGGACAGUAGGGUUUCUCUAUUAAAAUUGGAUAAAAUAUUUUUGGGGGAACAAAAAAAAAAGAAACAAAUACCAUAAAAGAAAGAAAAGGCAUAAGAAAGCUAAUACUGAUUGGGUGGAGUAAGGAUAUUAGUCAGUGGGGUAGUGCUAUGGGUACCCCAAUAUUGCAUCUCAAAUGCACCCCACUAUGAGAUGGAGCAUUGAGAUUGGCUGGGUAUAGGGCCCACCCACUUUUUCCAACCAAUUCCAAUACUCUACCUCAUGGUGGGAUGCAACAUUGGGGUACCCAUAGCAUUUUUCUUAGUCAGUGGGGUCAAAAUCAUAUAUUUACUUUUCGUAAUUUCUCCAGAAUCAUCUAAAAACGCAAACCGAAUCCCCAAAUUAUCUGCUUUACUUUUCACGGUGCUCUAAUCCCAAAUUUUAUUGUAACGUUUUUCAUCUCCGCUAACGGCAUUUACAAAUUCGAUAUCAGAGCUUCUUUUUUGCUUGGAACAUCAUCAAAUUUCAAUUUUAAAAUCUAUUGGUAUAAUUAAUGAUUUCAACUUUAGUAUAAAUAAUAUCAAUCUAUUAUUGAUAUUCCUUUUUGUUUAUGAUUAAUUUUUGGUUAAGUUGAUUUUAUAUUUUUGAACGUUAGUUUAUAAAAAUGUUCAUUAAUAUCUAUAAAAAAAUCAUAGUUUUCAUAAUUAUAAUUAUAAACCUCAUGUAUGAAUAAAUGCACGAAGGAAUCCAUCUUCAUUCUUUGUUCAGGGUCUCUCAAAUCUCGGACCGGUUUAAAUUGUUUCAUUUUAAUACCAUAAAGUAUAUCACACAUCUGUAUAUAUAGUUUUGCGAGUCUCAAUUUUUUUAUUGUUGAAUGCAUUAUUGACAGUAUUAAAGUCUGGAACUGCAUAAUCAUGCUGGGGGUAGUUAAGUAAUAAACAAUUAUGGAUGGGUCCGUCUGAGUAUGCCUCGUCUGUCCUCUUGUGCUCACGAGCCAUUCAGAAUUCACGUGAUUGGCACGAAAUUUUAACACUCGACUUUCCCACAAUUGGCACCUCAUCUCUCCCAUAAUUACACAAAUUGCCAUUGAGCACUAGUUCAGCGAACAAAGACUUGACAUUUCAUUUCCUUAGAUAACGGGUUCGUAUUUUUACAAGAACCAUUCAUUUGAUCAAUAAUACAAAUAUGGAUAAGGUGAGCAUUUUAGGUUUUAGAGAAUCGUAUUUAGGUGAUGUUUGUUAAUUAUUUAAUUAUUUAAUUUCUAUUUUGUUUAAUUUAUUAAUAAAAAUAAAAAAUUUAUUUGUGUUGUAAAAAAUAAAUAAAAACAAGACAAAACUAUUUUCACUAUUUUUGAAAAUAGUGAAUACAAUAAAAAGUUAUUUUUUUUAUUUAUAUUUUUUUUCAUUCAAAUUUUUUCAACCACCACCACCGCCGUCACCUCCUCCUCCACCACCACCACCUCUUCCACUGCCACCGCCAACGCUUUUUAAAAUAGUUUAAAAAGAGGUGAAUACAAAUGUAUUUUUAUUUUUAAAUAAUUUUGAAAUAUAUAAAAAUAAACAUAUUUUUAGUUUGUAUUUUAUAAAAACAAUAAAACAAAACAAAAAAUUAAACAAACACAAAAAAUAAAAAAAUAAAAAAUUACCAAACAUCCCCUUAGUGUUUGAAGUAUUAAUUCAAAUAUCUACUGAUGUGUGAGUUCAAAACUUAUGAUUACAUCAAUUGAGUGGUCGUGCUAGCACCGGGGGUCAUCCCGGUUAUUUUUUCUAUCCUAAAGAAAAACUUAUUUAUUUGAAAAUUUGUUUUCAUUAUGAAAAUCAAACUCUUAAUAAAAUAUUAAGAAAAACUUUUAAGAAAUGUUUUUGAUGUUCGAGGAUAAUUAAUUUUAAAUAAUUUAUCAAAAAUUCUUAAAAACCUUGUAAAAACUUCAUAAAAACAUACAAGUUUUUCUAUAUAUAUUUUUAUGCUCUCAGAUCUUAUUUAGAACAUUUCUUUCCAUAGAUUUUCUAGUAUAAGUUUUUAAAUUGAUUAUAAAAUUACACUUCAUUAUCCUAUUCUCAAGCCACUUAAUAAUUUAAAUUA
rnacentral:lncRNA from 1 species